UGGGGAAUAUUGGGCAAUGGGCGAAAGCCUGACCCAGCAACGCCGCGUGAGUGAUGAAGGCCUUCGGGUUGUAAAACUCUUUGGACAGGGACGAAGAAAGUGACGGUACCUGUAGAACAAGCCACGGCUAACUACGUGCCAGCAGCCGCGGUAAUACGUAGGUGGCGAGCGUUAUCCGGAUUUACUGGGCGUAAAGGGUUCGCAGGCGGAAUAACAAGUCAGAUGUGAAAGGCAUGGGCUCAACCCAUGUAAGCAUUUGAAACUGUAAUUCUUGAGAAGUGGAGAGGUAAGUGGAAUUCCUAGUGUAGCGGUGAAAUGCGUAGAUAUUAGGAGGAAUACCUGUGGCGAAGGCGACUUACUGGACACAAAUCUGACGCUGAGGAACGAAAGCGUGGGUAGCAAACAGG
rnacentral:rRNA from 1 species